CUGGCUCAGGAUGAACGCUAGCGACAGGCCUAACACAUGCAAGUCGAGGGGCAGCACAGGAGCAAUCUGAGGUGGCGACCGGCGCACGGGUGAGUAACACGUAUGCAACCUGCCUGUAAGCGGAGAAUAACCCGUUGAAAGACGGACUAAUACCGCAUAAUACUAAAUUACUGCAUGGUAAUUUAUUUAAACAUUUAUGGCUUACAGAUGGGCAUGCGCAUGAUUAGCUAGUUGGAGAGGUAACGGCUCCCCAGGGCAACGAUCAUUAGGGGUUCUGAGAGGAAGGUCCCCCACACUGGUACUGAGACACGGACCAAACUCCUACGGGAGGCAGCAGUGAGGAAUAUUGGUCAAUGGACGAGAGUCUGAACCAGCCAAGUCGCGUGCAGGAAGAAUUGUCCUAUGGAUUGUAAACUGCUUUUGCAGGGGAAUAAAGUGCAUCACGUGUGAUGUUUUGUAUGUACUCUGCGAAUAAGGAUCGGCUAACUCCGUGCCAGCCGCCGC
rnacentral:rRNA from 1 species